AUGGCAAGGCACCCACAUUCCCGUGAUAUCUUAUCUCUACAUGUGAAAUUAAACACGCAUUAUGUUUAUACAACUCAACAUAAAUAUUUCAAAAGCCCGUGGCAACGCACGGGCAUUAUACUAGUAUAUAUAAAGAGUGAGUAUGGUAGAUAUGUAUCGGUCCUUACAAAAAAAGUCAACCACUGUGAUUGUUUACUUGCACCGAACAGACCUUAUCUGUAUACUAGGAUCCUUGAAUCUCUCAAUCUGUUGAUGCACAUGCAUGCAUGCAUGCAUCGGCCGGUGGAGCAAUUAGCGACUAGAUCUAAUAACUGCCACCCUGGUUAG
rnacentral:rRNA from 1 species